GUGUGUUCAGUCCGACCCCCCGGGACUGAACACCGAAGACCCCCGCCUCCUCCCCCCCCUGGCGGGGGUCUUCUCUG
rfam:Rhodococcus sp. RD6.2 genome assembly, contig: RHCRD62_Contig_10